AUUGAACGCUGGCGGCAUGCCUUACACAUGCAAGUCGAACGGUAACAGGUUAAGCUGACGAGUGGCGAACGGGUGAGUAAUGUAUCGGAACGUGCCCAGUCGUGGGGGAUAACUGCUCGAAAGAGCAGCUAAUACCGCAUACGACCUGAGGGUGAAAGCGGGGGAUCGCAAGACCUCGCGCGAUUGGAGCGGCCGAUAUCAGAUUAGGUAGUUGGUGAGGUAAAGGCUCACCAAGUCGACGAUCUGUAGCUGGUCUGAGAGGACGACCAGCCACACUGGGACUGAGACACGGCCCAGACUCCUACGGGAGGCAGCAGUGGGGAAUUUUGGACAAUGGGCGCAAGCCUGAUCCAGCCAUGCCGCGUGCGGGAAGAAGGCCUUCGGGUUGUAAACCGCUUUUGUCAGGGAAGAAAAGGUUCUGGCUAAUACCUGGGACUCAUGACGGUACCUGAAGAAUAAGCACCGGCUAACUACGUG
rnacentral:rRNA from 1 species